GCCGGAGUGAUGAAACUAGGCAGACAUUGGCGGCUCAAAAUCGCCUGGGCGCAAGCCCGUGAGGGUUCGAGUCCCUCCUCCGGCA
rnacentral:tRNA from 1 species